rnacentral:rRNA from 1 species
AUUGAACGCUGGCGGCAGGACUAACACAUGCAAGUCGAGCGGAGCGGCGGACGGGUGAGUACUUCCUAGGACUCUGCCUGGUAGUGGGGGAUAACGUCCGUCACCGGGCGCUCAUCACGCAUACUAUCAUCUGAGCCUACGUCGCAUUCGCUAGUUGGUGGGGUACAGGCCUACCAAGGCGACGCUCCGUAACUGGGCUGCGAGGAUGAUCAGGCACACUGGAACUGAGACACGGUCCAGAAGCAUACGGGAGGCAGCAGUGGGGAAUAGUGGACAAGGGGCGAAAGCCUGAUCCAGACAUGACGCGUGUGUGAAGAAGGUCUUCGGAUUGUAAAGCACUGUAAGUUGGGAGGCGUUACCAACAGAAUAAGCACCGGCUAACUUCGUGCCAGCAGCAGCGGUAAUUC